GCUUAACCGAAGAAGUGCAUCGGAAACUGGGUGACUUGAGUGCAGAAGAGGACAGUGGAACUCCAUGUGUAGCGGUGGAAUGCGUAGAUAUAUGGAAGAACACCAGUGGCGAAGGCGGCUGUCUGGUCUGCAACUGACGCUGAGGCUCGAAAGCAUGGGUAGCGAACAGGAUUAGAUACCCUGGUAGUCCAUGCCGUAAACGAUGAGUGCUAAGUGUUGGAGGGUUUCCGCCCUUCAGUGCUGCAGCUAACGCAUUAAGCACUCCGCCUGGGGAGUACGACCGCAAGGUUGAAACUCAAAGGAAUUGACGGGGGCCCGCACAAGCGGUGGAGCAUGUGGUUUAAUUCGAAGCAACGCGAAGAACCUUACCAGGUCUUGACAUACCAUGAAAAGCUAAGAGAUUAGUCUUUCCCUUCGGGGACAUGGAUACAGGUGGUGCAUGGUUGUCGUCAGCUCGUGUCGUGAGAUGUUGGGUUAAGUCCCGCAACGAGCGCAACCCUUAUUAUCAGUUGCCAGCAUUCAGUUGGGCACUCUGGUGAGACUGCCGGUGACAAACCGGAGGAAGGUGGGGACGACGUCAAAUCAUCAUGCCCCUUAUGACCUGGGCUACACACGUGCUACAAUGGUCGGUACAACG
rnacentral:rRNA from 1 species